UAAGUGAGAUAUUUUCUCACCCCUUGGCUUAGAGAUGGUUUUGACGAAGGUCGUCAUAAAGGAUAGCUACCAUCACAAAUAUAAUAGUACAUGUUGUAACCAUGAUCAUUAGUGUUGUAGUUACACACAGAAGCUUGUCCCACACACAACCUUUCAAACAAUGAAGACUGCUACAAUACAUUGAUGUUAUUGUGAGACCCAAACAUCAAAAGAAUGCUAAAUCCAGAGGCCUUGUAUGCAAUAUGUUUAAGAUUGACGGUGGAUUUGUUGUAAUGGCCGUGAUAUUGCCCAUUGACAGCAUAUGGACAAUUCUUCCAUUUUAGAUGCAUGCAAUCGAGGAAUCCUAACAUACCUCGCCACCCUCUUCCUUCCAACGAUGUGAUGAGUCGUUGGUGUCUUCCUCAGUUGGUUCUCUCAAGUACUCCACUACAAACACCUUCAUCAUCGUAGUAGCAAACUUGACCAUGGCUUUGAGAUAUAUGGUUUCAGACAUCCAGAGGUACUCAUUCCACGAAUUUACGAUCAUUCCAUAGGAAAGCAUACUCAAGGCAAUCAUUACCUUCUGGUAAUCAGAGAGUCCAAUGUUUUCAAUGAUAUCCUUUUACAAUACGAAGAAGUCAUCAUAUACUCAAUCACCCUUGUAAAGGCGACCGGACAUAAUUGGGCUCAUCCGGAAUCGACGGUGAAAAAAGCACUGAAAUAUCGCAUCAGGGGAAACGUAGUCAUUCACCAACAUCCUAUGCCCUCGUACCCUCUUCCGNNNNNNNNNNNNNUCUUCCGAUUCAACACUUGAUGCCCCUUGAUUGAUCUCUUGAAAUUUAG
rnacentral:lncRNA from 1 species